CCCUUAGAUGUUCUGGGCCGCACGCGCGCUACACUGAUGCGUUCAACGAGUCUAAAACCUGCUCUGAUAGGGGUGGGUAAUCUUUUGAAUGUGUAUCGUGAUUGGGAUAGAUGAUUGCAAUUUUUCAUCUUCAACGAGGAAUGCCUAGUAAACGCAAGUCAUCAGCUUGCAUUGAUUACGUCCCUGCCCUUUGUACACACCGCCCGUCGCUCCUACCGAUUGAAUGAUCCGAUGAAUAUCAUGGAUUGAGGAUGCAAGCAGGUUCGCCUGUCUUCAUCUUCGAGAAGUGAAGUAAAUCUUAUCAUUUAGAGGAAGGAGAAGUCGUAACA
rnacentral:rRNA from 1 species